AGUGAACGCUGGCGGUAGGCCUAACACAUGCAAGUCGAACGGCAGCACAGUAAGAGCUUGCUCUUACGGGUGGCGAGUGGCGGACGGGUGAGGAGUACAUCGGAAUCUACUUUUUCGUGGGGGAUAACGUAGGGAAACUUACGCUAAUACCGCAUACGACCUACGGGUGAAAGCAGGGGAUCUUCGGACCUUGCGCGAUUGAAUGAGCCGAUGUCGGAUUAGCUAGUUGGCGGGGUAAAGGCCCACCAAGGCGACGAUCCGUAGCUGGUCUGAGAGGAUGAUCAGCCACACUGGAACUGAGACACGGUCCAGACUCCUACGGGAGGCAGCAGUGGGGAAUAUUGGACAAUGGGCGCAAGCCUGAUCCAGCCAUACCGCGUGGGUGAAGAAGGUCUUCGGGUUGUAAAGCCCUUUUGUUGGGAAAGAAAAGCAGCAGGUUAAUACCCCGCUGUUCUGACGGUACCCAAAGAAUAAGCACCGGCUAACUUCGUG
rnacentral:rRNA from 1 species